CUGGAGCCCGGCAGCGCGUGCCUCGUCCUCGGCCCGCGCGCGCUUCCGGCGCUCCAGGGCGGAGCAGCCAGUAGCGGCCCCCGGUGGGGAUCCGCCCCCCCUACAGCUGGGAUAAGCUUUCCACCAUUUUGAUGCAACAAACUGUUACUGGGCUUCUUUGCAAACAGCUUGAUAGUAGAAAUCUGCAUCUUGUGUUAUAUGGCACUCAAGCCUAUCCCUUGUCACAGAUUUUCCCCCUUUAUAGCUGCAAGAGGAACAUGGCAUGAACACAGUAAUGUACAGAAACAAACAAGUUCAGAAUGUGGCCAUCUGUCUAGAUUUUGUCAAUUCUUAGCUAAUUUUUAAACAUUCUUUUGUAAGAUAUCCUAGUUAACAAAAGUAAAGAA